GGUUAUACUGUCUCCUUUCUCUAAUCAGUGAAACUAAUCUCCCCGUGAAGAAGCGGGGAUAAAACUAUAAGACGAGAAGACCCCAUGGAGCUUUAAACCUAGCCACACCCAGAAUCUUUAUACCUAACUAUUAUCUGAACCCUGUAAGCUAGGCUUUAGGUUGGGGUGACCGCGGAGUAAAACAAAACCUCCGCAAUGAACGAAACUACCGUCUUAUCUAAGAAUAAUCCCUCUAAGAAUUAGCACUCUAACAUAAAUGAUCCAAUUAUUGAUCAACGGACCAAGUUACCCUGGGGAUAACAGCGCAAUCCACUUCAAGAGCUCCUAUCGACAGGUGGGUUUACGACCUCGAUGUUGGA
rnacentral:rRNA from 1 species